UACGUAGGCGGCAAGCGUUGUUCGGAGUUACUGGGCGUAAAGGGUGCGUAGGCGGCUUUUUAAGUCUGGUGUGAAAUCUCCCGGCUCAACUGGGAGGGUGCGCCGGAUACUGAGGGGCUAGAGUGUGGGAGAGGAAAGUGGAAUUCCUGGUGUAGCGGUGAAAUGCGCAGAUAUCAGGAAGAACACCCGUGGCUAAGGCGGCUCUCUAGUACGGUACUGACGCUGAGACGCGAAAGCGUGGGGAGCGAACAGG
rnacentral:rRNA from 1 species